AGGGACCUGGUUCUGGUCCAAUCAGGCUGCAGAUGUUCUCCAUGUUCUCCAGCCUGACCGUUCCUGUCUGGAUGCUGGCAGCAUGUUUGGUUUUUACUGCCUGCUGUAAAAUGAAUCAGGGACAAUAAAGAGGAACGGACCCUGAACCUUGAAGUCCGAUCGGCAGCAUGAAGGUGAAUGUUUGAGAGAAAGAGGAAGUGACGUCUGAUCCCACCUGCUGCUCAAUCUGCAGACCUGAACUCUGGGUCAGAGUCCCGUACCAGAUCAGGGGAACCAAGAGAAGAGUCUGGAUCAGGACAUUCUGAAGUCCAAAAGAUGGAGGAUUUGGAUUUGAUCAAACCUGAACCUUCAGGAUCCAGCCGUCCAUCCAUGAGGAGUGACCUGUCCAAAGAUGUACCUCCAGACUACAGUGCAGAACCUGGAACCUCAGACAUAAAAGGUCACAACCGCGGGCAGAGAGCAGAAUCUCCAUCUAUGAUGAGUGACCGGUCCAUUGGAGAGCAACCAGACUUCAGUGAAGAACUUGGACUCUUGAAGUAAGAAACCAGUUUCUAA